CUCUUAACCCUAGCCGCAACUCCCUCUCAUUAUUUCUCCAUCUCUCUCUGCUACCUCUCCCUCUCUGUCUGCCUCUCUACUACAUCUCCCUCUCCCUCUCCCUCGACGCUAACUCAAGCCAACAAACUCGGCGAAACCCACCCAUUCGCCCUCAGCGAAAUCCAUCUCUGCGAAACCCAAGUUCCAUCAUCGACCACCAGGUUCUGCAAGGAUUGAUUAUGUGAAUAUUGCUGGUGGUGGAUCGUCAUAAUCAGCUGGGUUUGUAUUCAACUUGCUCCCAAUGCAACAGAGUACUAGUUCUCUGCAGCCAUCGCUGUUUAGAACGGAAGGUCGUGGGUGGGGUCUUUUAGCAAAUGAGAAUAUGAAGAGCAAUUUAUUAUUGAGUACUGUGGAGAAGUGAUAUCAUGGAAAGAAGCAAAGCAAAGAUCUCAAGCUUAUGAAAUUCAAGAUCUCAGGGAUGCAUUUAUUAUUUCUCUCAAUGCAUCAGAAUGGACCUCUUCAUCCAGUAACUCGCCUUCAGUUUGGGUUGGUUUGUUAUUGUAGGGCUCAGAUUCAUCUAUAUACCUUCCACAAGGAGAUAAAAUGAAAUGAGAAUAUCAGCAGCAGAGAGGGGGAAAAGUUCUAUUUUACUGUUUUGAUGUGCAGAAUGUUGUGUUGAAUCUGAUGGGGCUGCUGUUUGGAAGGAU